rnacentral:sRNA from 1 species
AUUCCCCCCGCAGACUCUUUGCUCAAGUACGACACCCCGGUGCUGGUGAGCCGGAACACGGAGAAACGGAGCCCUAAGGCUCGGCUACUGAAAGUCAGCCCCCAGCAGCCUGGACCUUCAGGUUCAGCCCCACAGCUACCCAAGACCAAGCUCCCCUCAACUCCCUGUGUCCCAGAUCCUACAAAGCAGGCAGAAGAAAUCUUGAAUGCCAUACUACCCCCAAGAUGAGUUGAUCCGGGAGGUCACCAUCAACUGUGCGGAGAGGGGGCUGCUGCUGCUGCGAGUCCGGGACGAGAUCCGCAUGACCAUCGCUGCCUACCAGACCCUGUACGAGAGCAGUGUGGCGUUUGGCAUGAGGAAGGCACUGCAGGCUGAGCAGGGGAAGUCAGACAUGGAGAGGAAAAUUGCAGAAUUGGAGACGGAAAAGAGAGACCUGGAGAGGCAAGUGAACGAGCAGAAGGCAAAAUGUGAAGCCACUGAGAAGCGGGAGAGCGAGAGGCGGCAGGUGGAG